rnacentral:rRNA from 1 species
AUUGAACGCUGGCGGCAGGCCUAACACAUGCAAGUCGAGCGGAUGAUGGGAGCUUGCUCCUUGAUUCAGCGGCGGACGGGUGAGUAAUGCCUAGGAAUCUGCCUGGUAGUGGGGGACAACGUUUCGAAAGGAACGCUAAUACCGCAUACGUCCUACGGGAGAAAGCAGGGGACCUUCGGGCCUUGCGCUAUCAGAUGAGCCUAGGUCGGAUUAGCUUGUUGGUGAGGUAAUGGCUCACCAAGGCGACGAUCCGUAACUGGUCUGAGAGGAUGAUCAGUCACACUGGAACUGAGACACAGUCCAGACUCCUACGGGAGGCAGCAGUGGGGAAUAUUGACAAUGGGCGAAAGCCUGAUCCAGCCAUGCCGCGUGUGUGAAGAAGGUCUUCGGAUUGUAGAGCACUUUAAGUGGGGAGGAAGGGUUGUAGAUUAAUACUCUGCAAUCUUGACGUUACCGACAGAAUAAGCACCGGCUAACUCUGUGCCAGCCGCCGCCGUAACAC